GUGUGAGCCACUGGCAGCACAUAAACUAAAACUGGGACGAUUCAGAGACGAUUCGCAUGGCUCUGCACAGGGGUGACGUGCAAAUUCAUGAAGAGCUCCAGAUUUAA
ensembl:snRNA U6 U6 spliceosomal RNA